GCAUGUGCCCUGACUGGGAAUUGAACUGGCAACCUUGUGGUUCACAGUGCCAGUGCUCAAUCCACUGAGCCACACCAGCCAGGGCUUGUUUGAUUCUUUAUUCAAGUUUGGUUUUUACUUGGAAUUUGGGUUUGAGGCAGAGGUCAGCGUUUAAAAGAGUUGUGCUAAAGGGUUUUUUCCAUUCAGGAGAAAUUCUUACUCUGAAUCAGCUGGUGGGGGUGUGGGCUGAGCCUGGGAUUUGGGCCCAAACUGGAAGAAAGAGGAGCAGAGGCAGAGCCAGGAGAGGAGCUGCUGUCACAUGUCUCAGAAAUGAAAUCAGCUUUGGGGUUGGUCUGGUGCUGGGUGAGAUGAGGCAGUAUCAAGAGGCUUUGUGUGUUGCGGGGGUGGAGGGGGGGGGAUCCUGGGGAUGAUGGGAAGAAGGCAGAGGUGCACCUGGGAGCCUAGGGCCCAUUCUCAGGACAAGAAUGUCAUUAGGCUAGUCCUUGUCUACAGCCACAUCCUUAUGUAGCUCUGUUGCUUCGUGCUUUCACUUAAGGAAUUAUUUUAGCACCCAAAGGGGACCUUAAAUUCCAAUCCCCUCAUGAAAGAAAUACAAAGCUGAAGCCCCGAGAGCAACAUAAUGACCUGUCAUGCCCUAGCAGCAAAUUAGAGCCAACAAAAUCACCUGAUGUUACAAUUCCAAAUUCAGUGCUCUUAACACAUGGAUGAUCUUGUUAUUCUUCAACUAAGCCUUUUUCUCCCCCUUGUUAGGGAUGAGAAAAGGGAGGGUCAGAGAGAGUGAGUGAGCAGCCUGAAACCAAAGGCAAAACUGGGAGGGGAAAGGUGGCCAGCCUCCAGGUUGGGUUAUGAAAGCUGUUUUGAAGUCACUUCCCUGUGAGUCAAAGUUGUCUUGAGUGUAUAGAUUAACUUGCCUGUCCAGUCCACAGUGUUCCAAAUUAGCUCCAUCUAGUUUUCUCUGUCAGACUUGUGGCUCUUCCACUCUGCUGAGUUGCCCUACCUGGGCUCAGCCCCUCUGUUCUCCAUCCCCACCCAGAGGAAACCUAAAGGGCAAACCCAUUUCCAGGGAAGCCUGAAGACCAGGAAAGGAGAGUGGAAAUUUCAGAGAGAUGUGUUCUAAGCAGUCAACAAGUGUGUACAGACAUUUCCUGUGUACCAGGCCCCAUGCAAGAUUCUGGUACACAGAGGUGAAUGACAGGCAUUAUCCCUGCCUGUCAAUGCUUAUGGUCCAGCAGGGCAGACAGCAAGGAAUAACAA